CCGCACCUUUCUUUGUCGUCAGUUCCAAACACAGUUCAAAGCCUUCAAGUGCUCCAGUCUUGGUCCUGUUCCAAGUCAACGGCGGCAGCCAGCGAGCUCCGGCUUCGAUUCAAGCGAGCGGCGGGCGGCCGCUCCGCCGAAGAGCAGCUGCGCGAUACGCACCGGCGGCGGCUGACAGCAGCACCACUCAACUCCACACGCCAUUGCUCGCCCUCUCGCAGCGACGGAUUCAUGGAGGUCGCGAUGGGGUUGCUGUCGAGGCUCAUCCACAAGGUUGGGGAUCUGCUCGUCGGCGAGUACAAGCUGCAGAGCGGGGUGAAGGGGGAGAUCAUGUUCCUCCAACCUGAGCUCGAGAGCAUGCAGGGGGCGCUCAAGGAGAUUGCCACUGCUCCUCCGGACCAGCUCUGCGAGCAGGACAAGAUCUGGGCCAGCGAGGUGCGGGAGCUCUGCUACGACAUCGAGGACAGCAUCGACAUGUUCAUGGUACACUGCACGGGUGGUGCGCCGUCAGGGCCGGUUGGUAUGAGGGGGUUCAUCCAUAGGAGCCUGAAUUUGCUGACGAGGCUCCGGAUCCGCCGUCAGGUUGCUACCGACAUCAGAGACAUCAAGAGGCGUGUCAUAGAGGCCGGCGAGCGGCGCGAGAGGUACAGGAUCGAUGUGGCUAGGCCUGCUGCUGUCGAUCCUCGUUUGUUGGCUCAUUACAGCAAGGCAACAGAGCUUGUGGGGAUUGAUGAGGCUAGAAAUGAGGUGAUUGGCAUUCUGAUGGAAGGGGAUGAUCAGGUGUCCAACCAGCAUGGCAAGAUAGUUUCCAUUGGUGGAUUUGGGGGGCUGGGGAAGACGACUCUUGCUAAUGCAGUAUAUGAAAAGCUCAAGGAAAAAUUUGACUGCUGGGCUUUUGUUUCGGUGUCUCAAACUCCUGACAUGAGAAAAAUUUUCAAGGGGUUGCUCUAUGAACUUGGGAAGAACGUCAAUGAUGAAACAUUGGAUGAGAGGCAGCUCAUCGAUCAAGUCAGAAAAUUUCUUCAGAUGAAAAGGUAUUUCAUUGUUGUUGAUGACAUAUGGGAUAUCGCAGUUUGGAAAAUGAUUAGAUGUGCUUUGCCUGAUAAUGAUGUUGGAUACACAAUUGUUACAACUACCCGUAUUUCUGAUGUUGCUGAACAAGCCGGUGGUGCUUACAAGUUGAAACCCCUUUCUUCGAACAACUCUCGGAAACUAUUUUUUAGAAGAAUAUUUGGUAAUGAAAACAAAGACAACAAUGAUGAAAUUGAAAAAUGUCCAGAUGACGAACUGGCCGAAGUGUCUGAAAGAAUAUUAAAGAAAUGUGUUGGUGUGCCCCUAGCAAUUAUUACAAUGGCUAGUUUGCUAGCUUGCAAAGCAAGAAAUAAACUUGAGUGGUACGAGGUGUACAACUCUAUUGGUACUGGUAUGAAAAAUAAUAUGGACGUGCAGAAUAUGAGAAAGAUUUUGUCUUUUAGCUAUUAUGAGCUGCCGUGCCAUCUAAGGACUUGCUUGUUAUAUUUUAGCAUGUUUCCUGAAGAUUUUGAAAUUGACAAGGACCGUUUGAUAAGAAUGUGGAUAGCUGAAGGUUUUAUCCAAUAUGAAAAACAGGGAAAGAGUCUAUUUGAACUAGGAGAGUUUUACUUCAACGAGCUCAUAAAUAGAAGUAUGAUCCAACCAAUACAUAACUCAGUAACUGGCAUGCUACAUAGUUGCCGCAUACAUGAUAUGGUCCUUGAUCUUAUCUGUUCCUUGUCAAGUGAAGAAAACUUUAUUACUGUACUAAAUGAUAUGGAUAGCACAUCUCCAUCAAAUACAAUUCGGAGGUUGUCCCUUCAAUUUGGCAAGAAAAGUCACAUGAUGGUUCAAGUUACUAGAAACUUGUUGCAACAUGCAAGGUCAGUUGUUAUCUUUCCAUUUGCCGUUGGUCAAAUGCCGGCUGCUGGCAGCUGCCGAGUUUUACGUGUACUAGAUUUAGAGCAUUGCAAUCUUUCACAGAAUAAAAGCCUCAAGGACCUUGGGAAGUUAUAUCACUUGAGGUACUUGGGACUACGUGGGACAAGUGUUUCUCACCUCCCAGAAGAAAUAGGAAACCUGCAAUUUCUACAUACAUUGGACGUAAGGUCAAAUACUAUUUCCAGCUUGACUUGGAGUGUUGUCCAGCUAAGAAAUUUGAUUUGCCUAGAUAUUGACGUAUCUACAAGAGUGCCAAAUGGAAUCGGAAACCUAAGAUGCCUUGAGCAGCUGUCACGGUUAUGCAUUGAUGAAUCCACCAUAAACAUUAUAGAGGAGUUGGGCCAUCUAACUGAACUGAGGCGGCUGUGGAUUAAAUUGGAGAAGUGGAACGAAAAGCUGUUGGAGUGCCUACACAAGCUACAAAAGAUUCAGGAACUACAUAUUGUAGUCCCUCCUGGUCAACGCAGCAUCGGUGGAUUGGAUGCCUGGGUCGCUCCUCGACACCUCCGUUUGUUGGGUAUAGAAGACUGCUAUUGGUUUUCUACACUUCCGGCUUGGGUGAAUCCAUUGCUCGUACCAGAUCUCACCUGCCUAUACAUCACCGUGAGGGAGCUACAUCAGGUCGAUCUUGAAAUCCUCGGGAGGUUGCCAGCUCUCCGCUUUUUACAUCUGAGCAAUAAGAACUGGGGAAUCCUUCAGGGAUUCAUUGUUCGUGCUGGUUCGUUCCCAUGCCUCGUAUUCUGUUCCUUCUCGCGAUUUGUAUGGCCAAUGGUAUUUCAACAAGGGGCAAUGCCAAGACUCAGAGAGCUUUACCUCUGGCCAUUGUUUUAUGUGCGGGAAGGAAGAGGAAUUGCCAGCAGCAAUGAUGGUCUCGACUUGAGCCUCGGAAACCUGCCAUCGUUGCAGAGGGUCUUUGCUGAGCUCCGAUAUGAAGGCGCAAGCAAAAGGAGGAGGCCGAGCAAGCCAAGGCUACGCUGACGCGUGCAGCUGAAAUGCAUCCCAAUCAACCCAGACAUGAUAUAUGUAUAUUUAAAUAUAAAGAGUCGGAUGAUGGAUCCCGAACUGACAGUGCUAAAGGAAUGCCAGCCUGACUCCUGUUGGUUGAUGUAACCCCCUUUUCCUCCGUAUAAUCUUAGUUUCAUAUAUUUGUCUCAGAGAUAGCAAAAUUCUUAUUCUAAAAUUAAUUGCGUUGGUUUUUCC